ensembl:lncRNA novel transcript
AAUAUCUCGUCAUGGACUGUGCCCCGCUCGAGCCUCUCCACAGGCAGCCGGAAGGAAAGUGGAGGGAGCUGCUCCUUUCCGUAGCCGGGGUGCCCACCCCAACCAGGCUGCCUCUGCCACCCAAGACAGAGGUUCUCUGAUAAUAAUUUGUGGGGCUUGUUUCCAGAGACCACACCUGAAGCUGCCAACUCCCCGGAGGGAAGGUCCUGAUUAAUGGCCGAUGAAUUUCUCCUUAAGGCCCUGAAACUGCCUACUCAGAACCAAGCCAGUUUUUCCUGCCUGUCCUGUUUGGGCAGGCAGAGGAGGCAGCUAGAAACCCAUUAUGCAGGGGAUGGGGACCAAACCAAUGCACAACUCCUACGUACUGAUGGUGGUCUUACGUUUCCCUAAGUUUCUGCCGACUAAACUGUGCACACGUUCUCAGGACCUCCUGAAGCUGCGUCACAGGCGCUGAUCAAAGAACACAACCAAGAGUUUGGCCUUUUCUUCAGCACUGGGAAUUGUGAUCCAAAGCUUUUCCUGAUGAGGCACAAAGUUGGAGAAACAAAACGCA